rnacentral:rRNA from 1 species
UUAUACAAUUGACAUUAUUUAAUAUUGUUGGUUUAAUUGAAGUUAAGAUUUGUUUUUGAGAUUAUUUUUUUUGUUUUUGGGUGAAAUUUUAAAUUUUUUUUAUUCUUUUAUUCGGUUCUUUUAGAUUUGAGGAUUAAAUUAGGAUUAGAUACCCUAUUAUUUUAAAUAUAAAAUUUUACCUGGGUAGUAUUAGUUAUUUUCUUUAAACCCAAAGAAUUUGGCGGUGUUUUAUUCCAUUCAGAGGAACUUGCCUCGUGAUCGAUAGUCCUCGUUUUAUCUUGCUUUUCUUAUUUAGUAUGUAUACCGCCGUUAUAAGUUUAUUUUUUUAGAAUUUUAUUUACUGUUAAUUUUAUUAAAUUUUAUUUC